GUGGCGCACGGGUGAGUAAUGUAUAGGUAAUAUGCCUCUUACUAAGGGAUAACAAAUGGAAACGUUUGCUAAUACCUUAUACUCCUUAUUAACAUAAGUUAAUAAGGGAAAGAUUUAUUGGUAAGAGAUUAGCCUGUAUUGUAUCAGUUAGUUGGUGGGGUAAUGGCUUACCAAGACUAUGACACAUAACUGGUUUGAGAAGAUGAUCAGUCACACUGGAACUGAGACACGGUCCAGACUCCUACGGGAGGCAGCAGUGGGGAAUAUUGCACAAUGGACGAAAGUCUGAUGCAGCAACGCCGCGUGGAGGAUGACACAUUUCGGAGCGUAAACUCCUUUUAUAUGAGAAGAUAAUGACGGUAUUAUAUGAAUAAGCACCGGCUAACUCCGUGCCAGCAGCCGCGGUAAUACGGGGGGUGCAAGCGUUACUCGGAAUCACUGGGCGUAAAGAGCAUGUAGGCGGAUUAAUAAGUUUGAAGUGAAAUCCUAUAGCUUAACUAUAGAACUGCUUUGAAAACUGUUAAUCUAGAAUGUGGGAGAGGUAGAUGGAAUUUCUGGUGUAGGGGUAAAAUCCGUAGAGAUCAGAAGGAAUACCGAUUGCGGAGGCGAUCUACUGGAACAUUAUUGACGCUGAGAUGCGAAAGCG
rnacentral:rRNA from 1 species